rnacentral:lncRNA from 1 species
CCAGUGGCAAAUAUGUCAUGCAUGUUCAGGACGUAUGUCCUACAUACAUGUAUAUAUAGUUUUUGUCUAAAUAAAAUAAUAAAUUCAGAGGAAAAUAUUUAUGGAACGAUCAUUGCACUUCAAAAGGUUGGAGGAGGUAUGGUAUUUUACUAGUCCAAACGUCUUGAAAGGCUGUUAUAUUUUUUUUUCUUUCACGCGUCACAGAAGGCGGGCCGGGCCGUCAAAGCAAAAAUUUAAUAUACCCUUCUUUACUGUCAUAAUUAUUUGGACUACUAGUAGUAUUUGUCUUGUAAACAUAAACAAAUUAAUAUUUCCAAAUGGCAUAACUCUUUUAAAGAAUAGUUGAUAUGCACUGAUUUUCGAACGUGUCAUACGAUAUCAGUUUAAUAGAAAUUUUGGCAAGAAUUGUACACUUGAAAAAUCUAAUUAACCAUAAGGACCGAAAGGACAGACAGAAGAAUGAACGUGCGAUAUUUAAUGUACUCCGCAAUGCGUCAUGAUUUGGUGAAAAUAUAUAUAGUUAUUUACCAAUGAAAUUACGCAUAGGUAAUAUGUCCAGUCCUCUUGCUAUUAAUUCAAUCGUUUUUGCAAAAUCCAAAAAUUUCAAAAUAUGGUCUAGUUUCUCUCUCUGACCAAAAGCAUCCUUUAGCAUAUUCCUUUAUAAGAUUUUGGUUUUGUUUUCUGACAACAUAAAAAAAGAAGAUAUGGUAUAAUUUCCAAUGAAACAACUCUCAACAAGAGACAAACAUGCCACAGAAAUUAACAACUAUACCGUCACGUACGGUUCAACAAUGAGCAAUGCCCAUACCGCAUAGUCAACUAUAAAAACUGUGAUUUUAAAAGUAUUUAGGAGCCUUCCAAUUUUAUUUAAUUGUAAUCAUUGACCAUAAUAAAAGUUUAAUUUUAUGAAUAAAUGUAAAAUUCUAAAAAGUGAUUAGAACGUGAAUUGAAGGAUGUAAAGGAGUAUUGUUAUGAAAUAACAGCCAACCAAACAAAACAAAACAAAAACAAAAAAACAACAUCUAGAGGUCAACAUAAUUUUAUGCUAUAAAUUAAUACAUGAAUUAAUGCAAGAGUGUGUACAGUACAUGUAACCUGUAUGACAAGUUUUAAAUUGCCGUGCUCAGUCUUUAAUUUUAAAAGCCGUAAAAAUUAUCAACAGUCCGUAAUCACUUUUCUUGGGAUGUUUCUCACUUAGAGCACAAACAAAGAGAUGUAUUUAUAAUUCACAUGAUUUUAUUCCGAAAACAAUAUUACCAAUUUUUAGUUAGCUCUUUACAAGCAAUAUUCAUACAUCUGAA